rnacentral:miRNA from 2 species
UUCCUGAUGCCUCCCAUUCCUA